GCAGCCAUAUCAUUCUGAAACACCGGUUCUUGUACGAUUACUGAAGUUAAGCAACAGUGAGCCUGGUCAAGUAUCUCGAUGGGUAACCACUCGGGAAUACCAGGUGCUGUAAG